rnacentral:rRNA from 1 species
AAGACCUUGCGCUUUUGGAGCGGCCGAUGCCUGAUUAGCUUGUUGGUAAGGUAAAAGCUUACCAAGGCUUCGAUCAGUAGCUGGUCUGAGAGGACGGCCAGCCACACUGGGACUGAGACACGGCCCAGACUCCUACGGGAGGCAGCAGUGGGGAAUUUUGGACAAUGGGGGCAACCCUGAUCCAGCCAUGCCGCGUGAGUGAAGAAGGCCUUCGGGUUGUAAAGCUCUUUCAGCCGGAACGAAACGGUUACGGUUAAUACCCGUGACUACUGACGGUACCGGAAGAAGAAGCACCGGCUAACUACGUGCCAGCAGCCGCGGUAAUACGUAGGGUGCGAGCGUUAAUCGGAAUUACUGGGCGUAAAGCGUGCGCAGGUGGUUUUGUAAGUCAGAUGUGAAAGCCCCGGGCUCAACUUGGGAACU